UCUAAUCAGGAUAGCAGACGCUAAACAAGCUAUGGAACCGGGUCAUUUGUUUGAUUUGUUACAUCAAUAUCAAC
rnacentral:tRNA from 1 species